UACGGAGGGUGCAAGCGUUAUCCGGAUUUACUGGGUUUAAAGGGUGCGUAGGCGGGCCUUUAAGUCAGUGGUGAAAUCCCCGGGCCUAACCCGGGAACUGCCAUUGAUACUAUAGGUCUUGAAUUCAGUUGAGGUGGGCGGAAUGUGUCGUGUAGCGGUGAAAUGCUUAGAUAUGACACAGAACACCGAUUGCGAAGGCAGCUCGCUAAACUGACAUUGACGCUGAGGCACGAAAGCGUGGGGAU
rnacentral:rRNA from 1 species